UCCUGCAGCACAGCCUGGAGCUUGACUCCUGCACUUGGUGAUAGAAAUAAAAACACCCGACCGUCCAUGGUGAAGGAUUGUCAGAGGAAGAGGAGGACACGCCCCGCCCAGAGAACUUGAUUCCAAAUCCCAUGUCAUUUAGUGCUUGAUCAGGGCUGUCAUGAAAUACGUCACUAUUAACGCCAUCCCAGACAUCCAGGUUGCAUCUACUUUGUAUAAAUGCUUGAGGUUUCCGGUCCAACUUCAGGGAGUUUCUUUGUGUCGAUCGGACUUCGUCUCACGGAGAUCUGAGUGCGGACAGAAGGUCUUUUGAUUCCGGUUACAGUUCAUUCCGGAUUUUCUUCAUGCCUUACAGUUACAGGACAAGGAGUUCGUUCGGUGGUUUGUGGUUUAAGAGACAUUGACUUUAGUUUGUCCAGUUUUUUCUGAUGUCGCAUGCGAAAGAGGAGGAGGACUCUCACGGCUCAGAA